UAAACAAAUUAUUAUCAAAUUAAUUAUUUCAACUAAAAACUUUAUAACAAGAGUUCAUCACAUCCUAGCAAUAUUAAAAAAGUUUGCCUAGCAUGGAGUCGAAAUUAAAUGCACACAAGUUAAAAGAUAUCACCAAACUUUGACGGAACGUAAUUAUUUCUGCCUGUUAAAGUCGAUGUCAUCUUCCUCGUAUCUGUCAAGUCUACCCGUCUUCUGUGUGUGUAAUAAACAGGCAGAUUCCAGCAGACAGCUCGUUAUCUUUUGACUUCAAUUCUCUGCUCCAAUGGUUUUGAAUUAUUUUGUUUUUGUUCCAGCAAGCAGCUCGUUCAAAUUUCGGCAGGCAGCUCGUUCUAUUUCCUAAUUCGCCAGAUUAUGUGUGUGUAUUCCCAAUUCUGACUUUUUAUUUUUUUUGCCUGCGUGUGUUUAUAAAUGUAUAUCAAACAGCUGCACUUUUUGACUCCAAAAUCAGCCCCAAUUUUCUGCCUUUUCUUCUUGCCUCUUGCUGCCUUUUUUUUGUGUGUGUAUGUAUAUUCUCUUUCAGCCGAAAUGCAGUUUAUUCCCAGCCAACAAUUUCUCCCAGAAGCAGCCUUUUGUUUCUUCCCCAAAGCUGCCCCUUUUUUUUCAGCAAAACUCCCAAAUCUUUAAAUGCGUGAACGUAAUUUUUCUCCCUGCCGAAUUCCAUUUUUUCUCUCUAACCGCAAUUCUUGUGAAUAUAUUUUCUCCAGCCUCAAUAUUUGAUAACUUCUCCUGCAGCUGCAAGUAUUGUCUUUUUGUCUCACCAAAGCUGCUAAUGUUGGACUCCAAUUAAUUCCGCCUCUUCCUCCUCUACGAGUUCUGCCG
rnacentral:lncRNA from 1 species